GGAAUUGUGGGACGCACGUUCCCAAGGCUCCUGGGUGCCCUCCAGCAGCAUUCAGGAUGGGAAAGGGCUGGCUGAAGCAUGAGGUUAUUUCAGGAUUAAGGCCCGCACAAAUUAAAAACAUUUGAGAAACGGAACGAAAAAGAAGAGUGAAAAUAGGAAGGCUUAAAAAAAAAAAAAAACACCGGAAAGAAAUAGACGCCCACCCUUUUUUUUCCCCCUUUCCAAUGUCAACAAGCAAAAUGAAAACAUUUCCUGGGUGAUCGCUCAGGGCUACUCGCUUCCAAUUCGGAUUAGAAGCUGAGAAGACGCUGGAGCGGCGAGAAGAAAACGGCACCGAGUCGCCCAGAGCGUGAGCGAAGGUCAGGAGCGGGAGAGAAGGGAAGGAAGAGACGCACAGACAGAGCAUGUGUUACCUGGUUUAUUUCGAGAUUGUUUGGUAUUGUUUUCUCUCUGAGCACCCCUUAUUUCGGAAGGCCAUCAUAGGCGCCCACCACUGAGCCGCCCUCGCCCGCCGCCGCCGCAGCGCCGGGAGCCCCAGGCCCGGCUUCCCGGCGGCGCCCGACCUCCGAGCUCGCCGCCGCCCGAGCCGCAGGAACCGACUUCUGCCAGACAGAUGGGACUCUCCAGCAUGAAAAUCUGCGCAUCCAUUCCAACAAGUAGGACUGUGCCUGAUGUUGCCCGAAGGAUGCCGAAGAAAAAGACUUCAGGACUGGAAGCGCUCUUACCCCAAGAUCGGAUGAAGACGGAAUCUAUUUCAGUCUGAAAUUUGUGUUUCAUGGCUGCAGUUGGACAUUCCUCUGAUUUCUUUUAUCACUGGUUAGAUGGAUGAUCUGUUCCUGCCCAACUUGUAUUCUAAUUGACUCCCCUGGUCUAACAUGAUGGAUCUUUUUAGUGUCACUGAGUACUUUUGUGUCCCCUCUUCACUGCUAUGGGCAUGUCCCCCUUGGACACUAUUGCCAAAUAAAUCAACCCAGGACUGGCCUGGAAGCAGAGACAGGUGAAGGGAUUCUUGAGUAGAAGGACCUGGUACCUUCUGGCUGGAGCUCUUCUGGUGAAUGGUCAAGUUGUCAUAUUUGGGACUCACAUUCACAAAGCUAAGAAGUUUGAGAAGGGCAUAGGAACUAAGGUUCCAUGAAUCAAAAGAGAAUUCUGGCCCUAAGUAACUCAGGUCAUUGGGUGACACAAAAAUUAGAAAUUAGGGCCUCCAGGAUGAGCUCUGAUUUCUUUAGAAAUGGAGGGAUGCAAAGAGGACAGUAAAGUGGAGGGAGUAGAAGUAGCGGGAGGAAGGAGACCAGGUGGAAGAUGUUAGUACCUGGUGAUAAUCUAGCUGGUAAAGUUGACCCAUCUGUUUAGGAGGAGGGAGACGUGCUUUUAUCAGUUGUAAACCUGUCAAGGUUUAUUGUUCCAGGUACAAGAACAGCCACCAGUUCCUGAGAUGAGGCUGGAAGGAAUCUGCCACUGAGUUUGUAUCUGCAGGCAUCUAACUCUCCUCUCAGCCCAAAGUUCUCCCCAUGUCCUGAGCCCCCUAUGCACCCCACCCCCAAGAAAAAGGAAAUGAAAGAAAAUAAAAAGGGGAUAGCGAGAGAAUUAAGACUCAGUGUUUGUCAGGCAGAUGUUGGGGUCAAAGCAGGUUGUUUGGGUAACUGCUUUCAUUUUGGAGGGGAACGAAGAAAGCUGGUUAGAAGAGGACGGGCCGUUGUGGGAGAGGAGAGCAAAAAAUAAGAGAAAUUCCUUGGCAGCCCAGCAGAAGGAAUUUGGGUAGGACCAAAUGGAAAAGAACUUUAGCAACAGAAGGACAGUUUAAAAGGAAAGAAGGGUGAUCAUAAGAUGUGUUUGCAUUGUUCUGUUUUCCUGCAAAUUAGUGUAGCCUUGAAAACAUGAGAAAAGAUCUUCAUGCCUUCUUAAAACACAAUUACAAAAAGAAAGGCAUACUAUCAAUAGCCAGUUUUGUCUUCAAGAAAAGUCUUUUCUUUAGAUAUUAUCAUAUACGGACAAUCCAUAACUAAACCAAAUGGUAGUUGAAGAAAGGGAGGGAAAAAAAGGGACGCAACUCCCCUGCUGGUCUUACGUAUAGUGCAUCUAUCUCCUCACCUUUCACAGCAGGGAGGUUGAAGGAUCUUUUUUCAUUUCUAUCUAGUCUUUUCACUUAAAAAAGUAUGAAAAUAUUACAGUUCAUGAGACUGUUUCUCACGAAAGAGCAGAGAAUGAGCAGCUUUCAUUUUUAGGGAUAAAUUCACUGAGGUGAUGCUCAGUUUGCUGCAGGAGAAAGACAACUUUGGUUGCAACUGUAUAUCGCUCUGCUUUUCAGUGGCACCCCCCAAGACCUUCUCUGUGCACUGAUAAUAACUAAUAACUACUAAGUUCUUCACUCUUCUGGAAGUACAACUCUGCAAUGUGAAAUCAAACUGGAGCUUUCCAUAUAAAAUCCAACUCUAAUUAAAACAUUUAAUGGAAAAUAU